GCCACGCUUGAGGUCCGGGACCUCAACGAAGACAUGGCUAUCUCAGCCAUGAAGCGGGGGCUGAGGGCAUCCCGAUUCACCUACUCUCUGGACAAGACCCUCCCCCGGACGUACGCCGAGCUACUGGAGCGCGCAUACAAGUACAUGCGCGCGGAUGAAGGAGCUUCCGACCGACGCUUGGCCGAGCCCAGAGGCCCGAAGGAGAAGCAGAGGAAGGGUCGGGAACCCGC
rnacentral:lncRNA from 1 species